GAUGAACGCUGGCGGCGUGCCUAAUACAUGCAAGUCGAGCGAACAGACGAGGAGCUUGCUCCUCUGACGUUAGCGGCUGACGGGUGAGUAACACGUGGAUAACCUACCUAUAAGACUGGGAUAACUUCGGGAAACCGGAGCUACUACCGGAUAAUAUAUUGAACCGCAUGGUUCAAUAGUUAAAGACGGUUUUGCUGUCACUUAUAGAUGGAUCCGCGCCGCAUUAGCUAGUUGGUAAGGUAACGACUUACCAAGGCAACGAUGCGUAGCCGACCUGAGAGGGUGAUCGGCCACACUGGAACUGAGACACGGUCCAGACUCCUACGGGAGGCAGCAGUAGGGAAUAUUCCGCAAUGGGCGAAAGCCUGACGGAGCAACGCCGCGUGAGUGAUGAAGGUCUUCGGAUCGUAAAACUCUGUUAUUAGGGAAGAACAAAUGUGUAAGUAACUAUGCACGUCUUGACGGUACCUAAUCAGAAAGCAACGGCUAACUACGUG
rnacentral:rRNA from 1 species